CCGGUAGCUCAGCAGGAAGAGCGUCUGGUUGAAGUCCAGAAGGCCGCAGGUUCGAGUCCUGCCCGGUUCACCA
rnacentral:tRNA from 1 species